UACGUAGGGUGCGAGCGUUGUCCGGAAUUACUGGGCGUAAAGCGCAUGUAGGCGGCCACGCAGGUCGGAUGUGAAAUCCCUCGGCUCAACCAAGGAAGUGCAUUCGAAACCGCAUGGCUCGAGUCCCGGAGAGGAAGGUGGAAUUCUCGGUGUGGAGGUGAAAUUCGUAGAUAUCGAGAGGAACACCGGUGGCGAAAGCGGCCUUCUGGACGAGGACUGACGCUGAGAUGCGAAAGCGUGGGGAGCAAACAGG
rnacentral:rRNA from 1 species